GACGAACGCUGGCGGCGUGCCUAAUACAUGCAAGUCGAGCGAAGUUUUUCUGGUGCUUGCACUAGAAAAACUUAGCGGCGAACGGGUGAGUAACACGUAAAGAACCUGCCUCAUAGACUGGGACAACUAUUGGAAACGAUAGCUAAUACCGGAUAACAGUAUUUCUCGCAUGAGAGAUAUUUAAAAGUUGGUUAUGCUAACACUAUGAGAUGGCUUUGCGGUGCAUUAGCUAGUUGGUGGGGUAAAGGCCCACCAAGGCGACGAUGCAUAGCCGACCUGAGAGGGUGAUCGGCCACACUGGGACUAAGACACGGCCCAGACUCCUACGGGAGGCAGCAGUAGGGAAUCUUCCGCAAUGGGCGAAAGCCUGACGGAGCAACGCCGCGUGAGUGAAGAAGGAUUUCGGUUCGUAAAGCUCUGUUGUUAGGGAAGAAUGGAUAUGUAGUAACUAUACAUGUAAGAGACGGUACCUAACCAGAAAGCCACGGCUAACUACGUG
rnacentral:rRNA from 1 species